GUGGGGAAUCUUGCGCAAUGGGCGAAAGCCUGACGCAGCCAUGCCGCGUGAAUGAUGAAGGUCUUAGGAUUGUAAAAUUCUUUCACCGGGGACGAUAAUGACGGUACCCGGAGAAGAAGCUCCGGCUAACUUCGUGCCAGCAGCCGCGGUAAUACGAAGGGGGCUAGCGUUGCUCGGAAUUACUGGGCGUAAAGGGCGCGUAGGCGGACAGCUUAGUCAGAGGUGAAAGCCCAGGGCUCAACCUUGGAAUUGCCUUUGAUACUGGCUGUCUUGAGUUUGGGAGAGGUGAGUGGAACUCCGAGUGUAGAGGUGAAAUUCGUAGAUAUUCGGGAGAACACCAGUGUCGAAGGCGACUCACUGGCCCAAUACUGACGCUGCGGCGCGAAAGCGUGGGGAGCAAACAGGAUUAGAAACCCCUGUAGUCC
rnacentral:rRNA from 1 species